rnacentral:tRNA from 1 species
GUCCCUAUAGCUCAGGUGGAUAGAGCGGGGGAUUCCUAAUCCCCGUCUGCCGGAGGUUCGAGUCCUCCUAGGGACACCA